UAGAAAAAAAGGAGCAAAUAUUCAGAGUUAACAUGAACAUUUCAAUAAAUUAUUUUUCUGAACAACCAUCUCUAUCUGUGUUCAUGAGGUUUUAGUGUAGAAUUUUACAGAAAAUGAAUUCUUCACAUUUAUACAUGCAUUAUUCAAAUAUCUUCAGAGUUUACAGGAAAAUUUCUAUUUAUACUUCCUCUGAAUGCCCAAGACUUUGUCUUUUUCAAGUUUCACAAGGUUUGGUGGUAGAAUUGUAGAGAAAAUGAAUGGGAAAGUCUGACACAAUGUGUCUGGUGUUCAAAUCCCGACCCGACCCCUUUCUUAAUAAUAAUAAUAAUAUUAGGCAAAAUGCCCCCAAAAAAAUUCUUCAGAGUUAACAGGAUUCUAUUCAUUUUCUAUUCAUAGCCCCGUAGCUGUGGAAACAAGCGCACAAAAUUUUCUGGAGUUGUAGUCACGAUCGACACGGUACUACAUCGUCAGAGCCAUAAACUUCACCAAGAUUUCCACCAGAGAACCAGGACUCUAAAUAGUAGGAUAUCUGCUCUGGGUGCUAUUGGAGGACAAAACACCAAAAGAGUCACAUGGAACAUACUUUCAAGGCUUUUCUCACAUGCAGUAGCCAAACAAAUAAACUGGAAAGGAGUCAAUGGGAAG